rnacentral:tRNA from 1 species
UGCCCUGUGGUGUAAUUGGCAACAUCUCCGGUUUUGACCCGGAAGAGUCCUGGUUCAAACCCAGGCAGGGCAGUCA